rnacentral:rRNA from 1 species
GACGAACGCUGGCGGCGUGCUUAACACAUGCAAGUCGAACGGAAAGGCCCUGCUUUUGUGGGGUGCUCGAGUGGCGAACGGGUGAGUAACACGUGAGUAACCUGCCCUUGACUUUGGGAUAACUUCAGGAAACUGGGACUAAUACCGGAUAGGAGCUCCUGCUGCAUGGUGGGGGUUGGAAAGUUUCGGCGGUUGGGGAUGGACUCGCGGCUUAUCAGCUUGUUGGUGGGGUAGUGGCUUACCAAGGCUUUGACGGGUAGCCGGCCUGAGAGGGUGACCGGCCACAUUGGGACUGAGAUACGGCUCAGACUCCUACGGGAGGCAGCAGUGGGGAAUAUUGCACAAUGGGCGGAAGCCUGAUGCAGCAACGCCGCGUGCGGGAUGACGGCCUUCGGGUUGUAAACCGCUUUCGCCUGUGACGAAGCGUGAGUGACGGUAAUGGGUAAAGAAGCACCGGCUAACUACGUG